GCAUCAUGUUGAGCAUGCCGAUUGUGAACCCAAAUUUGUUUCUUAUCGUGUAAAAAAAGAAGAAGAUGAAACAACAUUGACUUCUCUCUACCUAGAUGAUUCUUAUUUGGUCAAAGAAUACUGAAGUAACACCAAUUAAAUUGCACUCAGUCAAAAAGAACUAAUGUGACAAUAAGAAGUAGAAUAUUUCAAAACUUGCUAAUCUAUAAUUAUAAAAAUAUUAACCAAUCGGUAGCAAUAAUAAAGCUUUUAUUCAAUAAAAGAUAGUAACAACGCUGUGUGGAUGGAAGAAUUUGUGGGAGAUGGAAACAAAAAAUUUACCUUUUUAAUCCAUAAUCAAUAAAAACGAAAAAAAAAUAAAGCAUGUAGUUUGGCAUAACAGAAUUUGAAGAGACACUUUUCAAAAUUCAAAGAGAAGUCAAGAGCAAAUAAAAAUACUUCUAUAAUCUGUUUGUUCAUCGUUAUCUACCCCAAUUCCAACAAAAUUUUAGCACUGCAGACCUUCUGAAACUCAAAUAAAGACAUCAGCCACGAACUCCAGCAAUAAGAUUUGGAAGUCGAAGAGAAACUGGAAGAAACCGGGACAAAAAUUAGGAGAAAUCAUACCUGAAAUUAGAACAAUCUGAGAAAAUUUAAAAGAACUGAAUAAAGUAACCUUUGAAAGUAUGGAAAAAAAUAAUUAAGAGAUGUUCAAAAGAAACAUUUAAGGAAGGGGAUGAACGGAUGAACAAGAACAUAGAAGAAAAACAAACAUGAAUUUCAUCCAUGAAAUUGAAAAUUUUGAAAAGAAAUGAAAGAUUAAAGAAAAAUUGAGAGAAAAACUUACUUGAAAUUGAAAGAUUCCACCGAGAUGAUGAUGAGAAGUCAAAGAUUAGUCCUUGAAAGUGUGGAGAGUAUACAAUUGACAGAGCAAAUGAAAUUAUG
rnacentral:lncRNA from 1 species